rnacentral:rRNA from 1 species
GGAGUUUGGUCCGUGUCUCAGUACCAAUGUGGGGGACCUUCCUCUCAGAACCCCUACUGAUCGUCGCCUCGGUGGGCCGUUACCCCGCCGACAAGCUAAUCAGACGCAUCCCCAUCCCGCAGCGAUGAAUCUUUGCUCCUCGUUAGAUGCCUGCAAAGGAGAACAUAGGGCAUUAAUCCGACUUUCGCCGGGCGUGUUCCCUACUGCGGGGAAGGUUGGAUACGCGUUACUCACCCGUGCGCCGCUCGUCGGCAAGUAUUGCUACUCCCGUUACCCGCUCGACUUGCAUGUGUUAGGCCUGCCGCUAGCGUUUAUCCUGAGCCAUGAUCAAACUCA